GGCCAGACUCCUACGGGAGGCAGCAGUGGGGAAUAUUGGGCAAUGGGCGCAAGCCUGACCCAGCAACGCCGCGUGAAGGAAGAAGGCUUCCGGGUUGUAAACUUCUUUUAAGAGGGACGAAACAAAUGACGGUACCUCUUGAAUAAGCCACGGCUAACUACGUGCCAGCAGCCGCGGUAAUACGUAGGUGGCAAGCGUUAUCCGGAUUUAUUGGGUGUAAAGGGGGCGCAGACGGCAGCGCAAGCCAGGAGUGAAAGCCCGGGGCCCAACCCCGGGACUGCUCUUGGAACUGCGCGGCUGGAGUGCAGGAGGGGCAGGCGGAAUUCCUGGUGUAGCGGUGAAAUGCGUAGAUAUCAGGAGGAACACCGGUGGCGAAGGCGGCCUGCUGGACUGCGACUGACGUUGAGGCCCGAAAGCGUGGGGAGCAAACAGGAUUAGAUACCCUAGUA
rnacentral:rRNA from 1 species